AAUAGAUACCCGGGUAGUCCACGCCGUAAACGAUGAGUGCUAAGUGUUAGAGGGUUUCCGCCCUUUAGUGCUGCAGCUAACGCAUUAAGCACUCCGCCUGGGGAGUACGGCCGCAAGGCUGAAACUCAAAGGAAUUGACGGGGGCCCGCACAAGCGGUGGAGCAUGUGGUUUAAUUCGAAGCAACGCGAAGAACCUUACCAGGUCUUGACAUCCUCUGCCAACCCUAGAGAUAGGGCUUUCCCCUUCGGGGGACAGAGUGACAGGUGGUGCAUGGUUGUCGUCAGCUCGUGUCGUGAGAUGUUGGGUUAAGUCCCGCAACGAGCGCAACCCUUGAUCUUAGUUGCCAGCAUUCAGUUGGGCACUCUAAGGUGACUGCCGGUGACAAACCGGAGGAAGGUGGGGAUGACGUCAAAUCAUCAUGCCCCUUAUGACCUGGGCUACACACGUGCUACAAUGGAUGGUACAAAGAGCUGCGAACCCGCGAGGGUAAGCCAAUCUCAUAAAGCCAUUCUCAGUUCGGAUUGU
rnacentral:rRNA from 1 species